AUGCAGAGCGUAUACAAGUACAAAGUGGGUAUACCAUGUCAAAAGUCCAUAUUACCCUUUAUACGUUUUGUGUGGGGGGUUGUACCGACAAUCCUCCAACAUCUCUACCUUGCUGAUACUCAACUAUUUGGUCAAGCUCCUGAUGCACUGGCACAUAUGACGUCCCUCCAGGUCCUUGAUUUGUCAUGUAAUCCUAACACGGAUAUGAUGACUACAAGCUUCAGAAACCUAUGCAAUCUGAGAAUCCUGGACCUUUCUUAUUGUCAAAUGGUUGGAAAUAUAAAGGAUAUCAUAGGGAGGAUGCCCCAGUGUCCCUUGAACAAACUGCAGAAGUUGCAUUUGGGCUACAAUAAUAUCAGCGGAAUCAUGCCAGAUCGGACACCACACUUGACCAGCCUAGUCGUACUUGACAUCUCUCAGAACAACCUAACUGGGGGCAUAACACGAUGGGUGGUGCUGCUCUCUAGUUUAAGCAGCCUUGAUCUUUCUUACAACCAUCUCAGUGGACCUGUACCUUCUGAGAUCGACAUGCUCGGCAAUUUAACUAUGUUGGAUCUCAGUAGCAACAACUUGAAUGGUGACCUCACUGAAGAACAUUUUACAAGUCUAAUGAGGCUAAAGAGGCUGUAUUUAAGUGGAAAUUCCUUGAGGAUUAUAGUUGGUCCUGAUUGGAUACCACCCUUCAGUUUAGAAGAAAUAGAUCUUGGCUCUUGCCAACUGGGCCCUUCGUUUCCUGCAUGGCUUCAGUUCCAAGUAGACAUUAGGGAGAUGGAUAUAUCAAGCACAGGUAUAGUUGAUAGGCUUCCUGACUGGUUCAGCACUACAUUUGCAAAGGUCACAGAUCUACGCAUCUCCAACAAUGAAAUCAGUGGCAGAUUGCCAAGAAACAUGGAAUUCAUGUCACUGCAAAAUUUCUUUAUCAAUUCAAAUAAACUAACUGGUGAAAUCCCCAACUUACCAAGAAAUAUUGCCAUCUUGGACAUGUCUGAAAACUCUUUAUCUGGAAAUUUGCCAUCGAACAUUGAGAUCACAGAUUUGACUUCAUUUUGGUUGCGCUCCAAUCAAAUAACUGGUUGUAUUCCCGAAUCACUCUGUAAAGUGGAAUCCUUGUAUGUCUUGGAAUUAAGCAACAAUCUUCUUGAGGGACAACUUCCUCAGUGUUUUGGGGUGAAGUACAUUGGCUUUCUCAUGUUGGGUAACAAUAGAUUCUCUGGCAACUUCCCAUUGUUUCUAAAAAGCUGGACACAAUUGAUGUCUCUAGAUCUAUCACAUAAUAGUUUUUCCGGAAGGUUUCCUUUGUGGAUUGGAGAUUUGGUUGAAUUACGAUUUCUCCGGCUAGAUCAAAAUAUGUUUUUUGGAGAAAUCCCAUGUACCAUCUCAAAUCUUAGUUCCCUUCAGCAUAUGAACCUAGCAGGCAAUGGCUUAUCAGGUGCCAUACCGCGGCAUCUGUCAAAUGCGACAGCCAUGAUAGGGAAGUACAGAAAGGUUUCUAGGGAUGAGACAGAUUAUGAAGUAUACAUGAAUAUGGUCUUUAGAUAUGAUUUUUCUUCUGUGGUCAUCAAGGGACGAGAACUUAAUUAUAGUACUGGCAUUUGGAAUUUGGUUAGCAUUGACUUAUCUUUCAACCAAUUAACUGGGGGAAUACCAGAAGAAAUUACGGCUCUUGAUGCGUUGAUAAACUUGAAUCUAUCAUCAAACCGAUUGAGUGAGAAAUUUCCAAAUAAGCUUGGGGUCUUGCAAGCAUUGGAAUCACUUGACCUCUCAAGGAACAUGCUUUCUAGCAGAAUCCCUUCAAGCCUGUCAGAUUUAAACUAUUUGAGCUACUUGGACUUGUCUGAUAACAAUUUAACAGGGAGAAUACCAUCAGGACGCCAUCUUGACACACUCUACACAGAGCAACCUUCCAUGUACAGUGGCAACAGUGGUCUUUGUGGGCCUCCUCUUCCAAACAGUUGCUCCGGGAAGAAUGUAACAAGGCAAGAUGAUCAAAAAGGGAAUGGACAUUCCUUUGAGCCAAUGACCUUUUGUUUUGGACUCGCUCUGGGAUUUAUUCUGGGUCUCUGGGUGGUGUUCUGCAUCCUGUUGUUCAAGAAAGUAUGGAGGAUUGCUUAUUUCCGUGUGGUUGACCAGACAUAUGAUCAGAUGUAUGUGUUUUCCGUUCUUACAUGGAGAAGCUGGGCCAGAAAGGAAGCUACAAAUUGA
rnacentral:rRNA from 1 species